UAAAAUGCGAACAUUAGAAAGCACCAAAAACAGAAACAAAAAUAAAUAGAAAAAUCUCCCGCCAUCCCCAUAAACAUUUAUAAACCCUCGAAAAAUCAAGAAUCUGGUAUCAAAUUUUUUGAUUUGGGGUCGAGAAAUGGAUCUGACGGUGGUAGAUCUGAGCGCGUACUUGGAAUCGGAAGAGGGCGGAGUGGAGGAGUUGUGCGGCGAGGUGAGUCGGAGUCUGAGAGAAACGGGAGCUUUGUUGGUCAAGGAUCCCAGAUGUACGGCGGAUGACAACGAUCGCUUCCUUGAUAUGAUGGAGAGGUACUUUGACAGUCCGCGGAGUUCAAGCGACUCCAGGAGAGGCCCCAAUUGCAUUACCAGGUUGGCGUGACACCGGAAGGCGUGGAAGUCCCCAGAAGCCUUGUUGAUGAAGAAAUGCAGGAGAAAUUGAAAGAAAUGCCCAAAGAGUUCCAGCCAUCCAUCCCCAAAGGGGCAGAUCGCAAAUGGCGAUACAUGUGGAGGGUGGGUCCUCGACCCUCGAAAACCCACUUUCAGGAACUUAAUGCAGAGCCAGUCGUACCCGAGGGGUUUCCUGAAUGGAAAGAUACCAUGGAUUCAUGGGGUUACAAGAUGAUUUCCGCAAUAGAGGCUGUUGCUGAAAUGGCUGCCAUUGGAUUUGGCUUGCCAAAGGAUGCAUUCACUUCUCUUAUGAAGCGGGGGCCACACCUUCUAGCUCCAACAGGAAGUGACCUUCGGCGUUAUGGCCAAGAAGGUACUGUGUUUGCAGGAUAUCACUAUGACCUGAACUUUCUAACUAUUCAUGGCAGAAGUAGAUUUCCCGGUCUGAACAUUUGGUUAAAAAAUGGGCAAAAAGUUGAAGUCAAGGUUCCUGUAGGAUGUCUUCUCAUUCAGACCGGGAAGCAGAUAGAAUGGUUGACUGCAGGUGAUUGCAUAGCUGGAAUGCAUGAAGUUAUCGUAACAAACAGGACGAUUGAUGCAAUCAAACUUGCAACAGAGCAAAGUCGCUUACUAUGGAGAGUAUCUUCAACAUUGUUUGCACACGUAGCAUCUGAUGCUGUGUUGAAGCCCUUAGGUCACUUUGCAGAAUCCCCGCUCGCAAGUAAAUACCCGCCCAUUUAUGCAGGAGAGUUUGUUGAACAAGAGCUUGCAGUAAUCAAUCUCAAAGGCAACAAAGAAUAAGUUUGGUAACUUGUUACAUGUGAAGAUCAUAACAUAUUAUGUCAACGAUCAGAAUGGCAUUAUGAAGAGGCGUUUGGGGAUGAUAUGAAUUGUAAUAAAGAAGGUUGGGAUGAUAGAAACUGCGGCCAAUUGUAUCGUGUCAUUAUUUAUCGUUGUAUCGUUUACUGACAUUCCUUUGUUCCUCGAGCAAUUUGAGUUUUACCAUUUCAUUGCA